AUGCUGAGGAACCGCCCGCCCUCCAGCCGCCUUGCCUCUCCCAGCAAGGUGGCCGCCUCCAUCAAGGCACAAUAUAAAAGGAUUGUGGAUCGCGUGAGAGACGAUCCCAUCCUCUGCGGCCUCUCCAUCCCACUGCCCAACAUCAACAAUAAGUCCAUCUCCAGCUUCUUCUCUCGGGAGGAGAAGGCUGCCAACUACAGAGCUACGGUGCAGCCCAAAGCCAAGCCCCACCGCACCGUGCUGUCUGACCAACCGCUGCCCGACGCUCUUGCGUUGCCGUCCUCGCUGCCACCACCAGACCGACAGCAAAUGCAGUUCGAGCAGCCUCGCCACACGGCCGGGAAAAGGCGCGGAGAGAAGCGGAGGUUGGACUUUGAGGAGCCGGACCCAGAGGCGGGACCUUCAAAUCGGCCCAUCCAAGCCCAGCCUGCUGCCGCCGCCCCCCCCUACAUCCUACCUGCAGUCCGGGCAGCUCCCAUACUGCUGGUGGUCCCAGCACAGCCGCGCGCUCCAUCAAUCCAGUUUGCCGGACCUUCCUGCAGGCAGGUAUUCGUCCCCGUUCUGCCCCCCCCCUGCUCUCAUCCCCAAGCCCAUCGUCCCCAAAAAGUCGGCGAGGCCCUGCGGGGCAUGCCAAGUUCCUCAGUGUGGUGGCCGGAGGAAACGCUACACGCCCUCCAAGGACAAAGCGGCUGGAAGCAGCCAAAAAAUUUACACUUUUUGUCCUGCCACAGGGAAGUCAACCACCUCUGGCUUUGAAGGCGUGGUGUACACCAGCUUUGAACACUUUAAAAGUGUGGUGGACGAGGAGCUGGAGAGGAGGAGAAGCCAUUAACACUGACUGUUGACACACCUGUUGCUUCUCCCUCUGUACAUUAUCCAUCUGUAUAUAUUAUUGAAUAUUUGUUACAUUGUAAUCAUACUGUAUAUAUGUUUUUAUAAUAGCUAUGUCAAUUAUAUUUCAUUUAGAUUUUGAUAAACAUUUUUAUUAUAUAUUUUUUUGGGCAACUUUAUAGAUGAAAGCCAUACUGGCAUUUCUGUAUGAUAGCACAUGUAUAUAUUAUUGCUUUUGUUUUAUAUUGAUUAUAUUUGUAAAGUUAGAAUUAUUUUUUGUUACUUGUGAAUUGUGUCAUAUUUUAUAUUAAUAAAAGUUGUGUUGUUAUUUAAAAGUGUGCCUUC
rnacentral:lncRNA from 1 species